rfam:Brachypodium distachyon strain Bd21 chromosome 3, whole genome shotgun sequence.
CUGAUACUCCCUCCGUCCAACAAAACAUGUCUCAAGUUUGUUAAAAUUUGAAUGUAUCUAGACAUGACUUAGUGUAUAGAUGCAUUCAAAUUUAAUCAAAAUUGAGACAUCCUUUAUUGGACGGAGAGAGUAUAUA